GUCCACGCUGUAAACGAUGAUCACUCGUUGUUGGCGAUAAACAGCCAGCGACUGAGCGAAAGCAUUAAGUGAUCCACCUGGGGAGUACGGUCGCAAGACUGAAACUCAAAGGAAUUGACGGGGGCCCGCACAAGCGGAGGAACAUGUGGUUUAAUUCGAUGAUACGCGAGGAACCUUACCUGGGCUUAAAAUGUAGAACGACGUUCCGGGAAAAUCGGAAUUCCCUUCGGGGCGUUUUGCAAGGUGCUGCAUGGUUGUCGU
rnacentral:rRNA from 1 species